rnacentral:rRNA from 1 species
GACGAACGCUGGCGGCGUGCUUAACACAUGCAAGUCGAGCGGAAAGGCCACUUCGGUGGUACUCGAGCGGCGAACGGGUGAGUAACACGUGAGUAAUCUGCCCUUGGCUUUGGGAUAGCCACCGGAAACGGUGAUUAAUACCGGAUAGGACCACUCCACGCAUGUGGUGGUGGUGGAAAGUUUUUCGGCCAGGGAUGUGCUCGCGGCCUAUCAGCUUGAUGGUGAGGUAAUGGCUCACCAUGGCUUCGACGGGUAGCCGGCCUGAGAGGGUGACCGGUCACACUGGAACUGAGACACGGCCCAGACUCCUACGGGAGGCAGCAGUGGGGAAUAUUGGACAAUGGGCGGAAGCCUGAUCCAGCAACGCCGCGUGAGGGAUGACGGCCUUCGGGUUGUAAACCUCUUUCACCCAUGACGAAGCGCAAGUGACGGUAGUGGGAGAAGAAGCACCGGCCAACUACGUGCCAGCAGCCGCAGUAAUAC